rnacentral:lncRNA from 1 species
UCAAAAAAAAAAAACAAAAUUAUAGAAAACCUCCUGUAAAUAAGUACUUAAAAUAUUUUGCUACUAAAAAAAUAAAUAUUUCAUACUAUUGUGUGUUGGCACUCAUGUAUUUUUUGUGACCGGCGCGCAUCAGUACGGUUCAACGUACACUGUGUCCUACCGAGCUGGCGAAUUUUCGACACGAUCCCGAGCCACAACACUUAAACCUUAGUUAUAAUAUUAGCAUAACUCAUUUUACUAAUAAAUAUUUAUUAAAUAAUUUUAUGUUUAUUAUAAGGUUAAAGGAACUGGGAACAAAAUAUUGGUAGCCUAAUAUUAUAGUAUUCAAUAAUCUAUAUAUCUUAAAUUCGAUAAUAUGAGCCUCCGUGUGUUUGUAUAAAUUCAAGUUUUGAAUCAGGUAUUCAGAUUUUAUAUAAAUAGAUCUUAAGGUGUUGUUUGAAUAUCGGACCUCAUCGCAUAUUAAUAAAUAGGAUGAGAAAAAAAAAAAAAGAAGAAUAACAAAUAUGAUUUCAGAAUAAACGAGUAAUUUCUAUUAAUAGACCCACCAAAGACACAAAAUUAUAGAUUAGUUAACACAGGUGCUACAGAGAGAUAUGUUUAUAGAUUUCGUAGUUGAAAAUCCUCCUCCUUUAUUGUACUACGUACAUAUGUGGUCAUAUGCUAAAAAUUCACAAUCAUUUUUAUUUAUUUUCAUGUGGAUUUUUCGACAAAAAUAGAUGUAGACAAUUAAUCAUUAGAUGCGAUUUGUUAUCACUCAAAAAGAAAAAGAUGAUGUUGUGAAUCGUAAGCGCUAACCAAACUAUCUCAAAAGAACGUGCUGAUAGAAAAGACGCAUCCAUCGCAUUUAAGGACUCAGCCUCAGCCCUCACGGGUUUCGACCUUACUCAACCCAUCUGGACGUUGAAUCUACUGUUCAGUCUCUUGCCGUUAAGUCUCUUGUGGACCGCACCACCACUCAACUUAUUAGACUCACCCAACUCAACUUAUUAAUCUCCUAAGGCUAUUGUUAGGGGGCAAAAUAUUGAACCUAUUUUAGCCCAAUAAUAAAUAGCCAACAGAUACAAAUUGUUUGAGAGAUACAUAAUGCUAAUAAAUCUAUGCUUGCCUAUCGAUCUCUAAUUAAAGUGUCUAAGCUUCUUCUUCUUUUUUUAUAUUUAUUAUCAUUAUUAUUAUUAUUAUUAUUAUUAUUAUUAUUAUUAUUAUUUUUAGGAGCAGCAAUUACGAACAAAAGCAUUUGGUAAGAAAAUUUGCAGCUCCUAGAACCGCAGAAAAACAAAAAUACAAUUAUGAGCCUCGAUUGCAAGAACUCUAAUUGGAUGCUUCUGAUUUGUUAUAGGAAAAAAACUGUUGGGGGCCUUGCUUUUUGCCUUUUAGUAAGUAGCUAGCAACAACUUCAAAUAGAGCAUUUUGGUGAAUGGAAUCUUAUGAUCAAAAACUUGUAAUGUAAUGAGCUUCAAAAAGAAAAUGCUUUAUUUGGAUGCUUCUGGUUCUACUGUUAAAAAGAAGAAAAAAAAAAAAAACUUUAAUGGAAAGCUUCUUAUAAUAAAGUUUAGUUGAGAAGCUCUCGAUUCGCUGUCACGUAUCAAUUUUAUCGUUUAUCCAAUUAAAACUUUUUUUAUACUGAUAUUAGAAAAAACACUCAACGAUUCUUUGAAUGGAGACAAAACUGACAUGCCGGCAGCAGAUUGUAGGCUCCCCCGAUGAGACGUUGUUGGAGAGCUCUCCACUAAAGUUUUAUGGGUUAAAAAAAUUAUUGAAAAUAUCUUACUUUAAAAAGCAAAUGCUUUAAGUACUAUGCUUUUGAUUCUACUCUUAAAAAUGAAAAAAAUGAAAAAAAAAAAAACUUUGGAGGGGAGCUUCCGAGCAAAACUUUGUUGAGAAGCCUCUGAUUCAACGUCGCAUGUCAAAAGUUAUAAUCCUUUACUCUAAGGAUUAAAAUAUUUUUUUGGUCUACUAUUAGAAAACUCUUGGAUGGAGACAAAAUUGACAUACAAACAGUAGAUCGUAGGCUAACUCGACGUACAACGAGACGUCGUUGAAGAGCUCUCCACUGAAGUUUUAUCCAUUAAAACAAAUAUAUUGAAAAUAUCUUACUUUGAAAACACAAUUGCUUUAGUUGGAUGCUUCUAAUUCUACUGUUAAAGAGAAUUAUUGAAAACAUCUUAAUUACUAUAGUUCUUUUUCUAACGAUGCUAGUUACUUGGCGCAUUGUCAAAGGGCAUAUAAUUAAUUAUUAGAGUAGUGCUUCUACACUUGUUAUUUUUCGCUACUGUUAGUUCACUCCUCUUCAACGGCUCAGAUUUAAUUUUUUAAAUUGUGACCUACAAUAGCAGGCCACUUAGGGAGAGGUACCGGUUACCAGGUACCUCAAAGAAAGAUAUUUUUGUCUUUUAAAGCAUAAAUAAUUUAGUAAUUUUACCUCUACUAUAUUAUCAAAAUAUUUAUUCUCUCUUUGUUUCCUUUUUCUCUCUCUUUAUUUCCUUACAAAUUCAAUUUGUAACGAAUUAAAAUUUGAAAAAUCAACCAAGAACAAAAAAAUUUUAAAGGUAAGAUCAAAAUCAAUUUAAUAAAUCAAAUUAAUUAAAUUGAUCAAAUUGAUAAAAUAUACAGAUAGCUUGGAUUUGUUCAAUAUAAAUUUAUUUAAUUUAUUUACAUUUCUAAUUUUGUUUCCUCUAGUAAAACUCUAUGGCGUAGAUUUAUUAUAA